GAUGAACGCUGGCGGCGUGCCUAAUACAUGCAAGUCGAGCGAACGGACGAGAAGCUUGCUUCUCUGAUGUUAGCGGCGGACGGGUGAGUAACACGUGGAUAACCUACCUAUAAGACUGGGAUAACUUCGGGAAACCGGAGCUAAUACCGGAUAAUAUUUUGAACCGCAUGGUUCAAAAGUAAAAGACGGUCUUGCUGUCACUUAUAGAUGGAUCCGCGCUGCAUUAGCUAGUUGGUAAGGUAACGGCUUACCAAGGCAACGAUGCAUAGCCGACCUGAGAGGGUGAUCGGCCACACUGGAACUGAGACAAGGUCCAGACUCCUACGGGAGGCAGCAGUAGGGAAUCUUCCGCAAAGGGCGAAAGCCUGACGGAGCAACGCCGCGUGAGUGAUGAAGGUCUUCGGAUCGUAAAACUCUGUUAUUAGGGAAGAACAUAUGUGUAAGUAACUGUGCACGUCUUGACGGUACCUAAUCAGAAAGCCACGGCUAACUACGUG
rnacentral:rRNA from 1 species